rnacentral:rRNA from 1 species
UAGUCCACGCCGUAAACGAUGGAUACCAGCUGUCCGAGACCUUGAGUCUUGGGCGGCCAAGCGAAAGUGAUAAGUAUCCCACCUGGGGAGUACGUUCGCAAGAAUGAAACUCAAAGGAAUUGACGGGGGCCCGCACAAGCGGUGGAGCAUGUGGUUUAAUUCGAUGAUACGCGAGGAACCUUACCAGGGCUUAAAUGUAAAUUGACAGGACUAGAGAUAGUUUUUCCUUCGGGCAAUUUACAAGGUGCUGCAUGGUUGUCGUCAGCUCGUGCCGUGAGGUGUCAGGUUAAGUCCUAUAACGAGCGCAACCCCUGCCGUUAGUUGCCAGCAUGUUAUGAUGGGGACUCUAACGGGACUGCCGGUGCAAACCGUGAGGAAGGUGGGGAUGACGUCAAAUCAUCACGGCCCUUACGUCCUGAGCCACACACGUGCUACAAUGGUCGGUACAGAGAGCAGCCAUGUUGCAAGUCUGCGAAGGCAAGCCAAUCUCAUAAACGCGGCCUU